UACGUAGGGGGCAAGCGUUGUCCGGAUUUAUUGGGCGUAAAGAGCGUGUAGGCGGCUGGGUAGGUCCGCUGUGAAAACUCGAGGCUUAACCUCGAGACGUCGGUGGAAACCAUCCAGCUAGAGUCCGGAAGAGGAGAGUGGAAUUCCUGGUGUAGCGGUGAAAUGCGCAGAUAUCAGGAGGAACACCAAUUGCGAAGGCAGCUCGCUGGGACGUUACUGACGCUGAGACGCGAAAGCGUGGGGAGCAAACAGG
rnacentral:rRNA from 1 species